AUUCUUUCUUCUUCAACCGUGGAAAAGAACUAAAAAUGGCAGCCAUGGAUGAGCUCCAUUUGGCCAAGCUGCCAUGGCUUAUAUAGAUCAAGAAAACAUGAAAUUUUGGAUUAAGAUUUUGAAGAACAAAGUUGUGUGCUAAGUCAGGAAAGUUAGUCGUUUCGGCAUUUGAGUGUUGUCAGGUUGGCUCGGGUUUGGAGAUCGUCGGAAGUAUCAUCACACUAUUAGUUUAUCAAAUUAGAAUAAUGGUAAUUCUUAUUUAUUGUCAAAUAAGUGGCAUGUAUAGAUAAUUAGUUAUUGAUAUUAAAUAAUAUUAUGAUUUAGCCAAAUGUAUAGGCUCAUUUUUGCUUCAUUGUAUAUAGCCAUAAGAUUUGGCUCAUAAUGGUUAAAGUUAUGUAAACCUAUUUCUAAGUGUCUGAAAGAUUGCGGUUUGUUCUCGAACCAAUUUCAAUGAUUGUUUUGGGACUCGUAGGCCAUUUUAAGGGACAAA